AAAAGCUCCAUUUCAGGAACCGAACAGGAAAUAUUCCAAGUAGAAUUAAAUCUUCAAAAUCCUUCCCUGAAUCAUCAAGGGAUUGAUAAAAUAUAUGACUGCCAAGGUUUACUGCCACCUCCAGAGAAGCUCACUGCCGAGGUCCUAGGAAUCAUUUGCAUUGUCCUGAUGGCCACUGUGUUAAAAACAAUAGUUCUUAUUCCUUUCCUGGAGCAGAACAAUUUUUCCCCGAAUACAAGAACGCAGAAAGAAGAACUUGGGAAGAGAGUUUGCUGGCCUGUACUUCGAAGAACUCCAGUCUGCUUUCUAUAGAUAAUGAAGAAGAAAUGAAAUUUCUGGCCAGCAUUUUACCUUCCUCAUGGAUUGGUGUGUUUCGUAACAGCAGUCAUCAUCCAUGGGUGACAAUAAAUGGUUUGGCUUUCAAACAUAAGAUAAAAGACUCAGAUAAUGCUGAACUUAACUGUGCAGUGCUACAAGUAAAUCGACUUAAAUCAGCCCAGUGUGGAUCUUCAAUGAUAUAUCAUUAAACUUGUUAAUUUAAUACAAUUU
rnacentral:lncRNA from 1 species